CCCAGCCGAGCCCGAGAGCAAUUCCCCUCCUCACUCUCGGAGCCGGCCACCACCGGAAUCCCCCCGCCGGCGGUGUCGGGGGGCUGGGGCACCAAGGCGUAGCAGCACGAGUGGCACCUCAUGGCGGACCUCCUCCCGCCGCUCCUCAACGACCCACGUCUCCACCUCCACGACGGGCUGCCUUGAGUGUGAGGCGGCCAGAGUUGUCCUUCAACUUGUGCGCGUCAGGUCCGGGCCCAUGGAGGGCGAGCCGGGGGUGCUCGUGCAAUUGAGGAACACGCUCUUUUGAUGCCUCACUGCACGGGAGACGGCACCAGCCUCAACCCAGUCCACUCUUGGUGAUCUAUGUUCCGGCUGAGCGAUGCAAGGCGGAGCAUACAGGCCAUUGCAUGAAGAACUGAUGAUCUGUCUAGUCAUCAUAUGCCACAACUGUAGUCCAAGGGCUCCGAUUGAAGCGACAGCUAUUGCAAUAUUGGGACUGCGAUACCUACAAAAGGAUAAUUUGUGAGCAAUAUAAAUACAAGCCAACACAAGCAUGAAAUGGCAAUUCAGAGUAACUAUAUGUUCAGACUCCACAGCAAAAAGGAUUUCAUUAUAGGGAUGGACUCGAAAGAGUGAUCUUGUUAUCCUCUCAAGUAGAGGAAGAAUAAUCCCUAGUUCAAAGCUUUUGGUGUUACACAUAACACAUGAUUCCCAGUUGAUAUGACCCUAGAGCUCCUGGGCGAACGCGAAGGUAUGUCGACUUUCAGUGGUACAAACUCCAGAAAUUAGUGACUAAAAUCUGAACUGAUGAGUGUGCAUAUGGUAUUCUCGGUGUGAGGAUACUGAAUGAAUGACAACUUGCACUUAUUGAAGAUAAUUAAGAAGUAUUCACAUAUGCGGAUGACCAUGAUUUCUGGACAGUACUGCUAAAUGUUGACAGGCAAUUUCACGUUGAAGAUUCAGCGAUUUCGUAAUCAGAAUGAGAUGUGGCUGCACCAAGCAAAAGUGUUUUCCCUGAGAUGAAGGCGUGAUACACAAAACUGAAGGCAUUGUUGUGUACGUUUGUCAUUUAGCAAAAAGGUGUGGCAUUCAGAGCAGUUACAGGACCUUCAUAUUUAGGAGUGAUUGUGCGGUAACGACUAGUAUCAUUUAGCAAACGCGAGCAUGUGCUGGAUUCAUCGUGUGCUCCUGUGAUGGUCUGUGCACUGCAUGCAGAGGAGAUGUGUGCCGAGAAGGCCACCAGAAGUGGAGACCGCUCAUGAGAGCUAACUUAGACAUUGAGCGACAUGCCAGCGGAAUAGGCACAUGAGCAAUGUUCGAGCAGUUCGGCCUUAUCCUGUAUGAGUACAGUGCCUACUAGGUGGAGGAGAUAGAUAAGGGGAAGGCGUAUAUAUUGCGAUACACACAGAAGGAGAGGCGGUGUAUAGUGUCGUACAAAGUGAGCAUGGUAGAUGGAGGUGUUUGAUUUCAUCUGGGUUAAGCAAAUCUCGCAGACGCACAUAGUAAAUCCCGCAGAGGGGCGUCCUUGCUCCUCACCUUACCCAUUACCAAUAAAAAACCAUUCAGUUUCAGCCAUUUCAAUAUUUAUACAUGAAGGCAAUGGAGCUUGUCUGUCUUGACAACACUAGUGUUAUGCUUAUGACCGUCUUCUGAUGCUGCUCAGUAAUUGCAUGGCUUACGACCAUGUUACCAUUGCAGUUUUCAAAAUAUGAUUGCAUUGCUUAUAUAGACCAGUCUAUGAAUGAUGUGACUUGUGCUUCUGCUUUGUUCUGAAUUUGGGUACAUACUAAUAUCCUGACGACAAAUCUGAAGAGAUGGAGCAAGAUCAGGCUUGGGUGCAAGGACAAAUAGAGUGCAUUGCGCCAUCGGAGGUCAGUACCGCCUCCUCCAUGGUUAUGGGGCCUGAAGCGGACUCAGCUAUCGACGGUGGAUUAGCAGUUGUACGGUGCUGGUGCGGGAAUCGCCAUUGGAACAGAAUCUGUACUAUAACGGCCCCUAUCGUCAUCACACUUCCGAACCAGCCAUGGCUUAACGGACGGUGUCACUUGUCUUAUGUGGGCCACAGGCUCUGAAAAGUGACGAGAUACAACAGCCUAUACCCGUUGAGUUGGCGAUCUGGGAGCGAAUAAAGGGGGGAGGACAAUGAGCACGUCUGUGCUCGAGCUCAGAACAAUACUUUUGGCAUGAUAGAUAUCCUGCAUGGAUGUUUUUCUUUUGUUGUCUUCCUUUAGAGAUGUCUGAAUGUUGGUGCUUGGUUUGGCAGGAAAGUGAGGGCUGUCACGAAUAAGGAAGGCAUUGAACUUGGCAGGGAAUAUGGGCGCUUGUUUGAGGCGCAAAAUCCAAAGUGGAUGUGGAGCACCGGCUUGAUGGAUCGUAGCAAGUUUGUGUAACGCUGAUGGAUUACCAAGGGGCCGGGCUAAGCUACUGGAUUGAGAGAGUGCAACAUGCAUGUUUCCUCAUGGAAGAAAUUAAAAGGUGAAGGUCAUGGAAGAAAGAUUCAUCAGAGUAAAGUAAACCAGGGAUGUCAUCUAUCAUCGGCAUGCAUGGGUGAAAGAUGGAAGAAAGAUCUCAAGGGAAGGGUCAUGGGUGAAUCCAUUAAUCCAGGACUUGAAUUUUGUACAUGCAUGUUACUCUAGUGCUUAAUUACUUUUGAGUGCCUUAUUUACUUGUUGCUUUCCAUGAGAGCAACAAACUUAUCCUCCUUCAGUUGAUGUAAAGCAGGAUGGCACCCUGAGAUGCUUCUGUUUGUAUUGUAUAUAUAUAUGGUGUGCAACCAUUUUUGACAUGUGUGUGACAACAAUUUGAUCUUAAUUACCAUGA